GCCGGGCGUGGUGGCUCACGCCUGUAAUCCCAACACUUUGGGAGGCCGAGGCGGGUGGAUCACCUGAGGUCGGGAGUUCCAGACCAGCCUGGCCAACAUGGUGAAAGCCCAUCUCUA
rnacentral:SRP_RNA from 1 species